rnacentral:rRNA from 1 species
AUAGGAAUCUGCCCGGUAGUGGGGGAUAACUUGAGGAAACUCAAGCUAAUACCGCAUACGCCCCAAGGGGGAAAGCAGGGGAUCUUCGGACCUUGCGCUAUCGGAUGAGCCUAUGUCGGAUUAGCUAGUUGGUGAGGUAAUGGCUCACCAAGGCCGCGAUCCGUAGCUGGUCUGAGAGGAUGAUCAGCCACAUCGGGACUGAGACACGGCCCGAACUCCUACGGGAGGCAGCAGUGGGGAAUAUUGGACAAUGGGCGAAAGCCUGAUCCAGCCAUGCCGCGUGUGUGAAGAAGGCCUUCGGGUUGUAAAGCACUUUCAGCGAGGAAGAACGCUUGUGGGUUAAUACCCCGCAAGAAGGACAUCACUCGCAGAAGAAGCACCGGCUAACUCCGUGCCAGCAGCCGCGGUAAUACGGAGGGUGCAAGCGUUAAUCGGAAUUACUGGGCGUAAAGCGCGCGUAGGCGGCUUGAUAAGCCGGUUGUGAAAGCCCCGGGCUCAACCUGGGAACGGCAUCCGGAACUGUCAGGCUAGAGUGCAGGAGAGGAAGGUAGAAUUCCCGGUGUAGCGGUGAAAUGCGUAGAGAUCGGGAGGAAUACCAGUGGCGAAGGCGGCCUUCUGGACUGACACUGACGCUGAGGUGCGAAAGCGUGGGUAGCAAACAGGAUUAGAUACCCUGGUAGUCCACGCCGUAAACGAUGUCGACUAGCCGUUGGGGUCCUCGAGACCUUUGUGGCGCAGUUAACGCGAUAAGUCGACCGCCUGGGGAGUACGGCCGCAAGGUUAAACCUCAAUGAAUUUGACGGGGGGCCCGCACAAGCGGUGGAGCAUGUGGUUUAAUUCGAUGCAACGCGAAGAACCUUACCUACUCUUGACAUCGAGCGAACUUUCCAGAGAUGGAUUGGUGCCUUCGGGAACGCUCAGACAGGUGCUGCAUGGCCGUCGUCAGCUCGUGUUGUGAAAUGUUGGGUUAAGUCCCGUAACGAGCGCAACCCUUGUCCCUAUUUGCCAGCGAUUCGGUCGGGAACUCUAGGGAGACUGCCGGUGACAAACCGGAGGAAGGUGGGGACGACGUCAGGUCAUCAUGGCCCUUACGAGUAGGGCUACACACGUGCUACAAUGGCCGGUACAAUGGGCUGCAAUCCCGCGAGGGGGAGCUAAUCUCAUAAAGCCGGUCUCAGUCCGGAUCGGAGUCUGCAACUCGACUCCGUGAAGUCGGAAUCGCUAGUAA